rnacentral:rRNA from 1 species
UACGGAGGGUGCAAGCGUUAUCCGGAAUCAUUGGGUUUAAAGGGUCCGCAGGCGGAUUAAUAAGUCAGUGGUGAAAUCUCAUAGCUUAACUAUGAAACUGCCAUUGAUACUGUUAGUCUUGAAUAUGGUCGAUGUGGGCGGAAUAUGACAUGUAGCGGUGAAAUGCUUAGAUAUGUUAUAGAACACCGAUAGCGAAGGCAGCUCACAAGACCAUUAUUGACGCUCAUGGACGAAAGCGUGGGGAGCAAACAGG